AAGAAGGAGAGCGAAAAUGUGUCAUCAACUGAACAAACACUUUUAUCGUCGUUUUGAAUUAAAUACUGACGAGAUAAAAUACCGCAGUUCGUAUUCGAUUUUUUUAAAACUCAAAGUAACAAUCAUAAAAAAAAGUGAUUUUUAUAAGUGAAGAUGGCUUUUGUAGCAUCAGAUUUAAAGAAUUUGUUUAAGAUCAAGUUUAAGGCUCGCUAUGAUCCUCUUACUGAUCGAUAUAACCGAAUGUUUAUGGUAAAGCUCUUAAUGGCUUGUACUAUAGUUACUGGAUUGAACUGGUAUGCAGAUAAAGUUCAUUGCAUUGUUUCAGGAGAACAAGAUCCUGGUGGUUUUAAACCUUUUGCAUCCAGCACAUGUUGGAUUCAGGGUUUGUAUGUUUACAAAGAAAUGAGGUCUCGCAUAGAUGAAAGUUCUUAUUAUGGCAUUCCAAAAGAUAUGGAUUAUGAUGGACUCAUGAACAAUAAAGUGCUUUGUCCUACUGAAUCUAAGUUAAGCACAUUAGCAGGUGUGGACUGUGUUCCAAUGAAAAAGACUUUCUACUUGCAGUAUCAAUGGAUGCCAUUUUACUUAGCAACAUUAGCAGUUUUAUAUUACUUUCCAUACUUUUUCUAUAAAACUGUUAACAGUGAUCUUAUUGAAUUAACUGAAGAAAUCACUAAGAAUGAAAACAAUUUAGACAAGAUUAUUGACCGCUUCUUUCCUUACAAACUUAAUACACGAACAAGUGGAGUUUUGCGUUUGACUCUUCGGCAAUUAUUUAAUUUGCUAAUCAAAUUAGCAUAUGUAGUAAUUAAUUUUUUGGCAUUUUUUGGUACCAAUAGCCUUUUACACGGAGACUUUAAAGGUUAUGGGAAAAAAUGGUUGGAUUGGACCAGGCUUAACAAUACUGUUGCUUACGAUUACAUGGGUGUACGAGAUCACCCUAAACCAGGUAAUGAGCUUUUACCUCCAUUUGGAUAUUGUGAGCUGUACUCUUCAUCAAAAGAUAUAAAGGCUUCAUUUGGAAAUCAGCACAAACUUUUAUGUGAAAUCUCACCACACAUCUUAUACCAGUACGUCUUUGUUGUGCUUUGGUUUGGAAUGGUCUUGGGAAUGGUUGUGUCAAUUGUUGGCUUAAUUAUUUCAGCUGUUAGUUAUGCAAUUGGGUUCAUUGGAAUAAACCAACAUAGUCGCAACAGUGAAUUGAAAAAGUUAUUCAAUUCAUUGUGUUAUCGCGAGAUUGAAUAUCUGGAACUUUUGAGAAAGAAGAACAUUUCCCUAUACAGUGAUGUACUUUUAAGAUUAAAAGACCGGGCUCAUGAUACACUGCCGCAACCACCUCACAAUCCAAACGAUCGUCGAAGCAGCAUUGAUAAAUCCGAUAUCCCAAUGUAUCCAAUAAAACGAAAAGGAGCUCCAUCGUAUUAGUAAAUUUACUUCACAUUUUGUAUUCAUAUAGCCGAUUUUUUUUGGCGUUUCUAACUCUUUUUAACUUUCAAUACCUGUUAUUUUUUAUAGUUUAAAUGGUGAGAUUAAAACUUUUCUCGAUUUUCCUUAAGAAUAAAAUUUUAUAAUUAUGUACGAUAAAGUUUUACUUCAUAUGUUUAUAACAAUAAAAUUGUGAUUUUUGUCAA